rnacentral:rRNA from 1 species
AGAGUUUGAUCAUGGCUCAGAUUGAACGCUUGCGAUAUGCCUAACACAUGCAAGUUGAACGGCAGCGGAUAAAAGAAGUUGCUUCUUUGCCGGCGAGUGGCGAACGGGUGAGUAAUACAUUGGAACAUGGCCUAAAGUGGGGGAGAAAUAACUACUGGAAAAGGUAGCUAAUACCGCAUAAUGUCGUUAGACAAAAGUGGGGAACCUUCGGGACCUCACGCUUCAGGAGUGGUCAAUGUCUGAUUAGCUAGUUGGUGGUGUAAAUGACCACCAAGGCGACGAUCAGUAGCUGGUCUGAGAGGAUGGUCAGCCACACUGGAACUGAGACACGGUCCAGACUUCUACGGAAGGCAGCAGUGGGGAAUCUUGGACAAUGGGGGCAACCCUGAUCCAGCAAUAUCGCGUGUGUGAUGAAGGCCUCCGGGUUGUAAAGCACUUUUGUUCGGGAAGAAAGACUACCUAACCAACAAUUAAGUAGCAUGACGGUACCGAAAGAAUAAGCACSGGCUAACUACGUGCCAGCAGCCGCGGUAAUACGUAGGGUGCGAGGUGUUAAUCGGAAUCACUGGGCGUAAAGAGUACGUAGGUUGUUUGUUAAGACUGCUGGUGAAAUCCCUAGACUCAAUCUAGGAACUGCUGUGGUGACUAAUAAACUCGAGUAUGGAAGAGGGGGAUAGAAUUCCAGGAGUAGCGGUGAUAUGCGUAGAUAUCUGGAGGAAUACCAAAGGGCGAASGCAGUCCCCUGGUCCGAUACUGACACUGAGGUACGAAAGCGUGGGGAGCAAACAGGAUUAGAUACCCUGGUAGUSCACGCCCUAAACGAUGUCGAUUAGCCAUUGGAAGGACCCCUUUUCCUUUCAGUGACGUAGCUAACGCGUUAAAUCGACCGCCUGGGAAGUACGAYCGCAAGGUUAAAACUCAAAGGAAUUGACGGGGACCUGAACAAGCGGUGAAUGAUGUGGAUUAAUUCGAUGCUACGCGAAGAAYCUUACCUACCUUUGACAUGGCCAAAGUUCUACCGAGAGGCGGAAGUACUCGUAAGAGAAUUGGCGCACAGGUGCUGCAUGGUUGUCGUCAGUUCGUGUCGUGAGAUGUUGGGUUCAGUCCCGCAACGAACGCAACCCUUAUCUUUAAUUGCUCCUAUUUUAACAGGCACCUUAAAGAAACUGCCAAUGAUAAGUUGGAGGAAGGUGGGGAUCACGUCAAGUCCGCAUGGCCUUUAUAGGUAGGGCUUCACACGUCAUACAAUGGUUAGAACAAAGAGCUGCAAAUUCGUAAGAAGGAGCCAAUCUCACAAACCUAACCUCAGUUCGAAUUGCGCUCUGCAACUCGAGCGCAUGAAGCCGGAAUCGCUAGUAAUCGUGGAUCAGAAUGCCACGGUGAAUACGUUCUUAGGUCUUGUACACACCGCCCGUCACACCAUGGAAGCGAGUCUUACCAGAAAUGGUUAACCUAAUCCAUAUAUCAGGAAACCGGGAAUCCAUAAAGGCAAGGUUCAUAACUGGGGUGAAGUCGUAACAAGGUAGCCGUAG